AAAUUGCAAAAUGCUGUCGGAUAUAAAACUACUGUGCGAGUUAUUUUUUAUUUAAAUAAAAAAUUUAAAAGAAAUAGAUACCAUGCCAGCGUAUUAUUUCCAAUGUAUAAUUACCUGGAUUCCACUAAGUAUUGGACGAUAUCGACGAUGGCCGGUUUCUUCCCAAUUAUCCCAGAAUCGUCAUGAAUACCGUUUGUCUCGCUGAUUUUUGCAUCGUCUGUUCUCCGCGAAUCUUUCUGCCUUGUCGCCGGCUGCUCGAGUCUCGAAUGAUUAUCGUUCCAAUUUUUCGUCAACACUCGCGAUGCAUCGUCGAUUCUUUGCCCGUUCGCGUCACAUCGCACUCCAUUCUCUUUGUCGAUCUCGAAACGCACUCGCACCGCCGCUGUACCGUUCACAUCAUCGAAACCGCGACUAAUUUCCUGCGAGCCGUUGAUUAAUCCAUUGUCGACCUCGCCUGCCUCGAUGUCGUCAGUUUUCUGCUUGCUAUCUCGUAAUCUUUCUUCGAGCGGAAUCGAAGACGGAGAGUCGCCAGUUGCGUUGAUGGAUGAUCUUGGAAAUGCAAUGACAUUAAGAUUAUUGAAUAAUCUAUGGGUAAAUUUUUUUACGAAGUUUGUCCAGAUGCCAAUUUAUUAGUACGUUAAUGAAUUGGAAAGAUCAAGGAUACCUUCGCGGCGAAUACCGAGGAUUCAGCCAAAUGGGA